AAACGAACGCUGGCGGCAUGCCUAACACAUGCAAGUCGAACGAGACCUUCGGGUCUAGUGGCGCACGGGUGCGUAACGCGUGGGAAUCUGCCCUUGGGUUCGGAAUAACAGCGAGAAAUUGCUGCUAAUACCGGAUGAUGACGUAAGUCCAAAGAUUUAUCGCCCAAGGAUGAGCCCGCGUAGGAUUAGCUAGUUGGUGAGGUAAAGGCUCACCAAGGCGACGAUCCUUAGCUGGUCUGAGAGGAUGAUCAGCCACACUGGGACUGAGACACGGCCCCAGACUCCUACGGGAGGCAGCAGUGGGGGAAUAUUGGACAAUGGGGCGAAAGACCUGAUCCAGCAAUGCCGCGUGAGUGAU
rnacentral:rRNA from 1 species